AAUUACCCACCUAUGCCAUUAUGAAAAUAGUCUAAAGUAACCCCCUAAAUCUAUAUAUAAAUUACCCACCCCACCUCUGCCAUUAUAGAAAAUAAACUAAAGUAACCCCUAAUCUUAAUCAAAAUUACCCACUUAUGCCAUUGUAAAAAAUAUUUAAAAUAACCCCCUAAUUUGCGACUGAAUUGCCUACCACUAUUACUUAAAAAACUUAAAGUAACCCCUUAAAUUUGCAUCUAUAUUACCCACACAUGCUAUUAUUAAAAAUAACAUGAGGUAAUAACCCUACGUAAUGUACAACAAUAUAUGAUUCUAAAUUAUCUAUAUCUUGCACUAUUGGUAUACAAUAUAAUAAUUAAGAUCUAUACG
rnacentral:lncRNA from 1 species